rnacentral:misc_RNA from 1 species
AAGUCGUAACAAGGUUUCCGUAGGUGAACCUGCGGAAGGAUCAUUAACACAAAGCAAGUUAGCACCUUCAUUCACGUGAAGUGCUUUCUUCUUAACCCCCCUUUUGUGCGAACUUGUUCGUGUUUCUUUCGUUCAUUCGUGAGUGACUGAAGCCCUGUCUAAAUGGAGAGAGAGAGAGAGGUGAGAACGGUGUGUGGCUGCGUGCCUCCGCCUAUUAGUCUCGCCCCCCCUCCUCUCUUCUCCAUUUGUUUUCAACCUUUUAUUAACCCCUUGAACUGUUUUUGACUGAACUUGUGUCCUUCCUUCCUUUUCGAAGGAGGAAUUACACACACAUCCAACGCUGAACAACUCUUAGCAACGGAUAUCUUGGCUCUC